rnacentral:rRNA from 1 species
CCUACGGGUGGCAGCAGUGAGGAAUAUUGGUCAAUGGCCGCAAGUCUGAACCAGCCAUGCCGCGUGCAGGAAGACGGCUCUAUGAGUUGUAAACUUCUUUUAUAAAGGAAUAAAGUGAGGCACGUGUGCCUUUUUGUAUGUACUUUAUGAAUAAGGAUCGGCUAACUCCGUGCCAGCAGCCGCGGUAAUACGGAGGAUCCGAGCGUUAUCCGGAUUUAUUGGGUUUAAAGGGAGCGUAGAUGGGUUGUUAAGUCAGUUGUGAAAGUUUGCGGCUCAACCGUAAAAUUGCAAUUGAUACUGGCAGUCUUGAGUACAGUUGAGGUAGGCGGAAUUCGUGGUGUAGCGGUGAAAUGCUUAGAUAUCACGAAGAACUCCGAUUGCGAAGGCAGCUUACUAAACUGCCACUGACAUUGAUGCUCGAAAGUGUGGGUAUCAAACAGGAUUAGAUACCCGGGUAGUC